AAACUCCCAUUUUUUGCAUCAAUAGAAUCAAUCAAUCUUCGAUGUAAGAAGAAUUUGAAGGUCAAUUUUCUCUUUCUCCUUUAAUUAUAAAAUUCUUUUAGUUCGGAUCACAUGAAAUACGCUGAUUCCUUCAAAAAAAAAAAAAAAAAAAAAAAACUGAUUGAUAAGUGUUGUUCAUAUAAUACAGACCUAAGCUGCAUGGAAUCGGAAGCGGGUACGUGGAAGCGGAAGCGUUCGAAAACGCAGAAGCGAAUUUUUUUAAAAAUAUAGGAAGCGGAUACGGAUUGGAAGCGUAUAUAUAUAUAUAUAUAUAUUUAUAUCUGUAUUUGUAAACAACUAUCCAAAUACAUAAUAUAAAUAUUGCAAAGAUAAAAGUAACCCAAUAUUGCAAAGAUACAUAAUUUUUUUUUGAUACAAUCUCUCUCUCUUUAUUCAGGAAGUACCACACGUACUCAAUAGUCAAUAGCCUACUACACACUACAGCCACCCUAGGACACUCAUUCACCUGCUUUGGAACUCUAAAAAAACAUCGACAAAGUAGACAAAACACACUUACACAUUGAUGGGCCUUCUCACUACCACAGGCCCAAAAACAAAAACGUCCAGCCCAUAGACUUCAUCUUCUUCUUCUUCGAUACACCACGAAGGGUUUGUAAACGCAGACCGCAUCAAUCAACACAUAUCCAUAUUCAAAUUAAUCAUUCGACGCUUCCAUUCUCUUUUUGUGCGGUUCCAAAUCGGAAUCAUGCGUUUCCCGUGAGCUUCCAAAUUCACCUUUUUGAGAAUCGUGAUUCCAUAGCGCUUCCGAACGAUUCCGAGCGCUCCCGCUCCCGCUUCCGCUUCCGAAGCGAGAAUCGGAGCUUUCGUCACGCUUCCAUGCUGCUUAGAUACAGACUGGUUUCUCUCACUCUCUUUUUCUCCUUUUCUCUUUCUCUGGGUUUCUCUCAGUGACC
rnacentral:lncRNA from 1 species